rnacentral:lncRNA from 1 species
AUGAGAAUAUAUAUUGUCAAUAUAAACAAAGAUCAGCUGAUUUUAUAAUAAAUUUGGUUGUUUGCCUUUAAGCAAUACAUUAAACACAUUAAGUUGGUCAUCCGAAAACAAACUAAGAUCUGUAUGUAACAGACUACAGAUAAAUAUUGACCUCCAGUCAAAUCCACAGGCUAUUUUUCAAAAUUAAAUAACCGUCUUCUAACAUUUUUAUAAUAUAUGAAAAGAAAAUCAUUGUUUAAAUGUAACCAAGUGUUUUGGCAACUUCCCUUAUUUUAUUUUUUUAAUUGAUUUUUUUCAAUUUUUUUCUUUUGAUGUUUUUUGCCAGAAAAAUGACAUUAUAAAAACUACUGCUAAAUAAAGUUUUUGCCUGGACACCUUUUACUGGGAGAUUAAAAGGAAAUCUUAGUAGUUUGUAACACAUAUACCUUUUUUUUUUUUUUUUUGGGGGGGGGGUAAUUUCUAUAUAUUUGCAAUUUUGACAUCAAUGCAGUUUGAUUGAAACUUUAGCCAUGAUAAUCCGUCUUAAAUUCAAAUUCAAAUUGCAAAGUAUAACACUUCUUUCUAAGGCAGCAACCAUUUGAUUUUCUGGGG